UCACAUUUUGGUCGGAGAUGCUGCUGCUCUAGUGUGACAUCUAGUGGUGAAUUUUGCGUAUAUAACUUUGAAUGAGCACGAUCCUCAAGUGUGAUAAGGACAUUUGGUUUCAGCCUUGCAGAAGGUUGGCUGAACAGCAUCACAACAGGAUGUGAUGUCAGGAGGCUGUAAGAGGUUGUUAUUGCCACGUCAACGUGUCUGCCUUCGUUGUGCCUUCAGCAGGUGGUGUCCAGUCAGCUUGUUCCAGCUCAUGAAGCCGCGUCCAGUGGCCGUUGAGUCUUCAUGUUUCUUUCCUUCCUGUUUUGCUCUUUUUGGUCAAUGUCACUGCUGGCCACGCCCACAGGAAAUAGCAUAUGGCCUUUAUAAAGUCAGAAUGUCUACCUUUAUUACACAGACUGUUAAUGUCCUUUUAAUGUGUUAGAAGUUGCACAUUGCAGCUUUUAAAUUCCCUCCCACUCUUGCUGUAUCUGCCUCCCUAAACAGAGACAUCGCCGAAGAAUAAAUCAGCGAAUCAAAACGACUCGGAGCAUCCGGUCGCCACGAUGGUGACAAACACAAACGUUGUGUGCUCGGGAGAAAUUGAUUGUGUUUCUGUCGUUUCCCUCCCUCGUAUGGAUUUUCUGUUAGACGUGGAGGAGGAGGAGGAGGAGGAGGAGGAGGAAACAACGGGAGAGGCAGAGAUGUGGAGAAUGGAGUUGCCAUGGUGACCGUUGGCAUGUUGGGGGGUGCAGUGAGUGUUUGCGAGUGAGUGAGUGAAGGCGUGUUUGUGUGUGUCUGUUUCAUAGAUUUCAGGUGUUGCGGGGGAUUAUUCUGCUGAGGAGACACAAGAGCAGUAAUGCAGCUUCAGUAUCACAGCUUCAACAUGAGGAUACACCAUCAGAAACACCAACACGUGUCUUUCAAAAAGCUGCUCUUCACGGAAGAGUUCAAUCCAAAAGAAUGCUGCACAAGUUCUAAGAAAAUGUCUUCUGGAAGGGUGGAGUACCUGUGUAAAGGCCCUGCUGCACCCCCACACAGGUGUUCACUCUCAGGCUGGCUGAGUAGAUCUCUGCUCGGGUUGAAGAUGGGCGGAGCUACGCUGCAAUUACACAAUGUCACCAAACUUCAUGGACCAAUAAGAAUGAAGAUGAUGUGGUGACUUUUCCACCCAAACAGCGCAGAGACAGAACUGACAGCAAGUGACGUGAUCAGACAUCAGAAGUCAUUUCCUCAUUGCACUGUGGACACGGGAGAUGAUGGCGGGAUGAUGGCCGCCCUCGCCUCGCCGCCAUCGGGGGCCCUGGUGAAACAAACGUAUUCGAGUGUGGACAACAUGGCGGUUGACUUUGGAUCAGAGCUGCAUCUGUCGCUGAAAAAUGGAUAAAAAUACUGGAGUCGAACUAACGAUCUCUGAAGCUGUUUGAAUAUGAAUCAGAUGUCACUUUCACCAUGGCAACCGCCUCCUUCCCGCCGGUGAUGCUCUUCAGUUGACCACAAAGAGUCGACCGCCAUCUGGGCUAACAGGCGGAGGGAGGAGGGAGAGCAGCACACAACACACACACACACACACACACACACACACACACACACACACACACACACACACACACACACACACACACAGAAAACAAUGCACAACACACAGAUGAACACACACACACAACUCAUAAAUGUGCGCCAAAAAACAACACAAAGCCUCGCCUGAACAACCCUGAUUUAACCAGAAGAAUACAAAGAUUGAAAGCUUUAUUGACACUGAGUAACUAGAUUGACAGGACGCCUCAAACUGCAGAUCAGGUCAAUUAUUACUCUGCUAGAAAAGCUGUUUCUAUGUGCACAUUAAACCGCCUUCAACCCUCCUCUAACGGAUCUUUUAUAUUUAGUUCUUUCAGACAAAUCAGGUUUACAACGAUUUAAAAUAAAGAACUACAAACGUAUUCAAAGAUUCAUUCAAAUUUUUGCUCCCUAUAAAACCUUAAUCUGACCUCCAUCCGCCUUCAUUUACCACCAGUAGAGAUUUUUCCUCCCCUUUAAUGAUUUAAGUGCAUCUUCCACGGUUAAGUUGGUUUUUGUCUGUUGUUAUGAUUGGGUGUCUGCGCACUGUGCGCAGGGUGUUUUAUUUUGAACAUUUAUCGGAUUCUCUGCUGUUUCUGUGUCUUACUUUCUUCUUAGAGGCUAACAGAUCAAUUUCAGUCUAAAACUUGAUUUAUGAUUAAAUGUUAUGUUUAGUAGCUCUCUACUUUUUGAAUAAUUUUAAAAACCUACGUUAAUUUUCAUUGAUUUUCUGUGUUUUUAAAUGGUUGUAGUUGGUGCUACCUUUAGUUGAACUCAUGCUGCUAUUCUUUUUGAUUGUUUUUAAAGGUACAAUAUGUAACAUUAAAACAUCUAUAGAUAUUAUCAAAUAUAUACAUUAUCCCGAUUGCUUCCAACAAUGUUCAGAAUUUUAUUCAUAUUCAUUCAGGUUUCGUCGGGUCGCCUGUUAAUGGUGUCACAUCCUCUAGUUGCUAUAAUUUCACACGAUCAUCGGAGCCGACAUGACUAAACGUAACACGGACAAAACUUUAAUACAUUAUCUCGUCCGUUAAUGAUUUCUGCCUUUCUGAGUUACAUCAGAGAGAUUUUAUUAGAAAUGGUUUUUGUUUAACAAUAAAGACAACAACUCCCAUUAUCACAUACUACUUCACAAAGUCAUCAACCUGCGUCUCUUUUGUUGUUGUUUGUUGAUGUGGCAGACAAUUGAAAUACAUCUCCCCCUGGUGGCUGACUGCAGUAUAGACUCUCUCUCUAUCUCCCCUGGUGGCUGACUGCAGUAUAGACUCUCUCUCUCUCUCUCUCUCUCCCCCCUGGUGGCUGACUGCAGUAUAGACUCUCUCUCUCUCUCUCUAUCUCCCCCUGGUGGCUGACUGCAGUAUAGACUCUCUCUCUAUCUCCCCUGGUGGCUGACUGCAGUAUAGACUCUCUCUCUCUCUCUCUCUCUCUCUCUCUAUCUCCCCCUGGUGGCUGACUGCAGUAUAGACUCUCUCUCUCUCUCUCUCUCUCUCCCCCUGGUGGCUGACUGCAGUAUAGACUCUCUCUCUCUCUCUCUAUCUCCCCCUGGUGGCUGACUGCAGUACAGCUCAUAAAGCCUCCAGAUGCAACAAAAAUAAAUCAAAGUCAAAUAAAAUUUUCACAAACACGGUUUCUGUCAUUUUAGGUUGUUCUCAUCACGCUGAUUUUUGUUCCAGUGUUCAUUUCUCUAUAAGACUGAAUGGUACCUGUGUGUUAUUGUAGCCAAUGAAGCUGCCCCCUGCUGGCCUUUACAUUGAAUGCAGGUUUAAGUCACUUCUGCGUUGCCUUCACUUUCUGUCUGCUGUUUAUACUGUCAAUGAGUGGGAGGAAGCAGAAGCACGGCAUCGAUGACAAACCCCCUAGUAGCAUUAAUGACGUAUUGCUCUCUUGAGGUUACUUGCAUUUACAUUACAUUAUAAUGUUCUAGCAAGGUGCUAUCUAAAUAAAAAUGUUACUGACUGAAAGCCAAAACAGGAUCC
rnacentral:lncRNA from 1 species